GGGGGCGCGCGCCGGCGGCCGCGGGCCGAGGGGCUUGUGGGUAGCGGCGGCGCGCGGCCGGAGACGGGCGCCGCGCGGGAGUGCGUGAGGGGAGCGGGCUGGUGGGUCUGCGGCGGCCGGCGGCGGUCAUGGGAGCGGGCUGCCGGCGGCCGUAGGUGUCCGAUCCUGGACUUCAGCCUCUCGAAGCCCACAGGGCGGGGCGGGCCGGGCCGGGCGGUGGCGGCGGCGCUUCCCCGCUCCCGCCCUCAGAGUCCUGAGGGAGCUCCCGGCGGACGAGCGGACCCGGCGGCGCGAAUCUGACUGAGGGGCGGGGACGCCGCCUGCUCCUCGCCGCUCCCGGCCGCGCCGGGCCGGCCCCUCGGACAGCCUCAGGCCCCGGCCUCGCGCCGAGACUCGAAGCCACAGCUCGAAGCGGGCGGUGGGCCCGGGCGGAGCCCCGCCCGGAGCCAUCGGUUCGGGAGCGGCGCUAGGCCCCGAGGCGGCCGGGCCGGAGCCCGGGGAGCGGGAGUGCGGCCCGGCGGCGGCGGCAUGAGCCGGCCCGCGCCGACGGGGAAAAUGCCCGGCGCCCCCGAGGCCGUGCCCGGGGACGGGGCGGGCGCGAGCCGCCAGAGGAAGCUGGAGGCGCUCAUCCGAGACCCGCGCUCGCCCAUCAACGUGGAGAGCCUGCUGACUGCUACCCCAGACUACCAAGAGGGUUUUUGGGAACAUACUGUAAAGAUUUAUGUACUUAUUGUACCAUUCAAAAUCCCCCAAAUUCUGAAUUUGGAAGCAUCUUGCCCCAAGGAUGGCUUAAAUUCUUUGGUCCUUGAUUUGGAUUUUCCUGCUUUGAGGAAAAAUAAGAAUAUAGAUAAUUUCUUAAAUAGAUAUGAGAAAAUUGUGAAAAAAAUCAGAGGUCUACAGAUGAAGGCAGAAGACUAUGAUGUUGUAAAAGUUAUUGGAAGAGGUGCUUUUGGUGAAGUCCAGUUGGUUCGUCACAAGGCAUCACAGAAGGUUUAUGCUAUGAAGCUUCUUAGUAAGUUUGAAAUGAUAAAGAGAUCAGAUUCUGCUUUUUUCUGGGAAGAAAGAGAUAUUAUGGCCUUUGCCAACAGUCCCUGGGUGGUUCAGCUCUUUUGUGCCUUUCAAGAUGAUAAAUAUCUGUACAUGGUAAUGGAAUACAUGCCUGGUGGAGACCUUGUAAAUCUUAUGAGUAACUAUGAUGUACCUGAAAAAUGGGCCAAGUUUUAUACUGCUGAAGUUGUUCUUGCUCUGGAUGCCAUACACUCCAUGGGUUUAAUUCACAGAGAUGUGAAGCCUGACAACAUGCUCUUGGAUAAACAUGGACAUCUAAAAUUAGCAGAUUUUGGCACAUGUAUGAAGAUGGAUGAAACAGGCAUGGUGCAUUGUGAUACAGCAGUUGGAACACCUGAUUAUAUAUCACCUGAGGUUCUGAAAUCACAAGGGGGUGAUGGUUACUAUGGGAGAGAAUGUGAUUGGUGGUCUGUGGGUGUUUUCCUUUUUGAGAUGCUAGUGGGUGAUACUCCAUUUUAUGCAGAUUCGCUUGUAGGAACAUACAGCAAAAUUAUGGAUCAUAAAAACUCACUAUGUUUCCCUGAAGAUGCAGAAAUUUCUAAACAUGCGAAGAAUCUCAUCUGUGCCUUCUUAACAGAUAGGGAGGUACGGCUUGGGAGAAAUGGGGUAGAAGAAAUCAAACAACAUCCUUUCUUUAAGAAUGAUCAAUGGAAUUGGGAUAACAUAAGAGAGACGGCAGCUCCUGUAGUACCUGAACUCAGCAGUGACAUAGAUAGCAGCAAUUUUGACGACAUUGAAGAUGAUAAAGGAGAUGUAGAAACCUUCCCAAUUCCUAAAGCGUUUGUGGGAAAUCAGCUGCCUUUCAUAGGAUUUACCUACUAUAGAGAAAAUUUGUUAUUAAGUGACUCUCCAUCUUGUAGAGAAAAUGAUUCAAUACAAUCAAGGAAAAAUGAAGAGAGUCAAGAGAUUCAGAAAAAACUGGACACAUUAGAAGAACACCUUAGCACUGAGAUGCAAGCCAAAGAGGAACUAGAGCAGAAGUGCAAAUCUGUUAAUAUUCGCCUAGAGAAGGCAGCAAAGGAACUAGAAGAAGAGAUUACCUUAAGGAAAAAUGUGGAAUCAGCAUUGAGACAAUUAGAAAGAGAAAAAGCACUUCUUCAGCACAAAAAUGCAGAAUAUCAGCGGAAAGCUGAUCAUGAAGCAGACAAGAAACGAAAUUUGGAAAAUGAUGUUAACAGUUUAAAAGAUCAACUUGAAGAUUUGAAAAAAAGAAAUCAGAACUCUCAAAUAUCUACAGAGAAAGUGAAUCAACUCCAGAGACAACUGGAUGAAACCAAUGCUUUGCUGCGGACAGAAUCUGAUACUGCAGCCCGGUUAAGAAAAACCCAGGCAGAAAGUUCAAAGCAGAUUCAGCAGCUGGAAUCGAACAAUAGAGAUCUACAAGAUAAAAAUUGCCUGCUGGAGACUGCCAAGUUAAAACUUGAAAAGGAAUUUAUCAAUCUUCAGUCAGUUCUAGAAUCUGAAAGGAGGGACCGAACCCAUGGAUCAGAGAUAAUUAAUGAUUUACAAGGUAGAAUAUCUGGCCUAGAAGAAGAUUUAAAGAAUGGCAAAAUCUUAUUAGCAAAAGUAGAGCUGGAGAAGAGACAACUACAGGAGAGAUUUACUGAUUUGGAAAAGGAAAAGAAUAACAUGGAAAUAGAUAUGACAUACCAACUAAAAGUUAUACAGCAGACCUUAGAACAAGAAGAAGCUGAACAUAAGGCUACAAAAGCACGGCUGGCAGAUAAAAAUAAGAUUUAUGAAUCCAUUGAAGAAGCUAAAUCGGAAGCCAUGAAAGAAAUGGAGAAAAAGCUCUUGGAGGAAAGGACUUUAAAACAGAAAGUGGAGAACCUGUUGCUAGAAGCUGAGAAAAGAUGCUCUAUAUUAGACUGUGACUUCAAACAGUCACAGCAGAAAAUCAAUGAACUCCUUAAACAGAAAGAUGUGCUAAAUGAGGAUGUUAGAAACUUGACAUUAAAAAUAGAACAGGAAACUCAGAAGCGCUGCCUCACACAAAAUGACUUGAAGAUGCAAACACAGCAAGUUAACACACUAAAGAUGUCAGAAAAGCAGUUAAAACAAGAGAAUAAUCACCUCAUGGAAAUGAAAAUGAGCUUGGAAAAACAGAAUGCUGAACUUCGAAAAGAGCGUCAAGAUGCGGAUGGGCAAAUGAAAGAGCUCCAAGAUCAGCUUGAAGCAGAGCAGUAUUUCUCAACCCUCUAUAAAACACAGGUUAGGGAACUUAAAGAAGAAUGUGAAGAAAAGACCAAACUUUGUAAAGAAUUACAGCAGAAGAAGCAGGAAUUACAGGAUGAAAGGGACUCCUUGGCUGCUCAACUGGAGAUCACCUUGACCAAAGCAGAUUCUGAGCAGCUGGCUCGUUCAAUUGCUGAAGAACAAUAUUCUGAUUUGGAAAAAGAGAAAAUCAUGAAAGAGCUGGAGAUCAAAGAGAUGAUGGCUAGACACAAACAGGAACUCACUGAAAAAGAUGCUACAAUUGCAUCUCUUGAAGAAACUAAUAGGACACUAACUAGUGAUGUUGCCAAUCUUGCAAAUGAGAAAGAAGAAUUAAAUAACAAAUUGAAAGAUGCCCAAGAGCAACUAUCAAGGUUGAAAGAUGAAGAGAUAAGUGCAGCAGCUAUUAAAGCACAAUUUGAGAAGCAGCUGUUAACAGAGAGAACACUCAAAACUCAAGCUGUGAAUAAGUUGGCUGAGAUCAUGAAUCGAAAAGAACCUGUCAAGCGUGGUAGUGACACAGAUGUGCGGAGAAAAGAGAAGGAGAAUAGAAAACUUCAUAUGGAACUUAAAUCUGAACGUGAAAAAUUGACCCAGCAGAUGAUCAAGUAUCAGAAAGAACUGAAUGAGAUGCAGGCUCAAAUAGCUGAAGAGAGCCAGAUUCGAAUUGAACUACAGAUGACACUGGACAGUAAAGACAGUGACAUUGAGCAGCUGCGGUCACAGCUCCAGGCCUUGCAUAUUGGUCUGGAUAGUUCCAGUAUAGGCAGUGGACCAGGGGAUGCUGAGGCAGAUGAUGGGUUUCCAGUUCAUAUCACUCAAUCACACACUAUGGAAUCCAUGUCAUUCACCUACCAGCGUUCCUCUACUUCUCUCAAUAUUGCCACUAAGCCUUCCAGUUCUCAUAUGCUCCUUGACUCUGAUUCUGACUCAGAAGAAGAAUCUUUGCCCUACUUACCUAUUUCAUCGGAACCUAAUGGUACAGAAUCAAGACUAGAAGGAUGGCUUUCGUUGCCAGUGCGAAACAACACUAAGAAAUUUGGAUGGGUUAAAAAGUAUGUGAUUGUAAGCAGUAAGAAGAUUCUUUUCUAUGACAGUGAACAAGAUAAAGAACAAUCUAAUCCUUACAUGGUUUUAGAUAUAGACAAGUUAUUUCAUGUCCGACCAGUUACGCAGACAGAUGUAUAUAGAGCAGAUGCUAAAGAAAUUCCAAGGAUAUUCCAGAUUCUGUAUGCUAAUGAAGGAGAAAGUAAGAAGGAACAAGAAUUUCCAGUGGAGCCAGUGGGAGAAAAAUCAAAUUAUAUUUGCCACAAGGGACAUGAAUUUAUUCCUACGCUCUAUCAUUUCCCAACCAACUGUGAAGCUUGUAUGAAGCCAUUGUGGCAUAUGUUUAAACCUCCUCCUGCUUUAGAGUGCCGUCGCUGCCAUAUUAAAUGUCAUAAAGAUCACAUGGACAAAAAGGAGGAGAUUAUAGCACCUUGCAAAGUUUAUUAUGACAUUUCAACGGCAAAGAAUCUAUUGUUAUUAGCAAAUUCUACAGAAGAGCAGCAAAAGUGGGUUAGUCGGUUGGUGAAAAAGAUACCUAAAAAGCCUCCAGCUCCGGACCCUUUUGCACGGUCAUCUCCUAGAACCUCAAUGAAGAUUCAACAAAACCAGUCUAUUAGGCGGCCGAGUCGACAGCUUGCCCCAAACAAACCAAGUUCUGGCCCUGCCCUUCGAAUCAUUCUUCAUUGAUUUUUUUAAUACAUUUUGCAUAGCAACAAUUGCUUGAUUUGGCAUUUAAAGACUGGGAUUGGUCAUUUGAUGAUAUUGAUGGUGAUGAUGAUGGAGAUGUUUUUGAUUUCUGAAGAAAUGGCUAACUGCCUUCUAUGAAUGCAGUCAUUAUUCAAGGUGAUCAUAUUCUUCCAGUUAAAACAAGACUGAAAUAUGAUGGCCCAAAAUUUAUGAAAAAGCUGUAUUUUCCUGAGAGACUGAUACACACACACACACACACACACACACACACACACAUAUACAUAUAUUUGUUCCCUUUAUUCCUGCAAUAUAAAUUAUAAAUCUUGGAGAGAUUUUCUGGGCUCCUUUGGAACAGCAAGUUGAACCAACAGUGAUUGGCUGAUAGAGUAAGAAUAUCAUAUGCAACUCUUCCAAACUCGUUCCAUAAAGCUCUCUUGGCAGUCACUCACACUACAUUGCACAAAAGGAUCGAGAAGAGUUAAAGAAAUCAUCUUUUCAGCUUCAACAGAGAGAUUUCACCAGCACAUUUACCAGAAAGAAUCUGGGAAUGGAUUCCACUACAGUGAUAUAGACUGCGUCUUUAAGAAGUGACCAUUAUACUGUGUGUGCAUGUGUAUAUAUAUACACACAUAUAUACACACACACACACAUAUAUAGUACUGUAAUACUGCAAGAGGGUUUUUUUAAACUUCCCACUUUAUUUUUUUACACACAUUAACCAGAUAUCAUUACUUACUGCAGUUGCAACUAUGCACUUGUAUAAAGCCAUAACGUUGGAGUUUAUCAUCACUCAUUUGUGUACCUGGUGGAAGCUGCAUGUUUGCGUUUAAGCAAUUACUGUAACAAUGAGUUUGAAGUUAAUUAUGUCGAUUUCCUAAUGCUUCAUAAUAGGCAACUUUACCCAUUUUGAAUGCCUUAAUUUAAUUUUUUUCAAAGUCUCAACCCUGUUCUGCAUUUUAAAAAAAAGAAGAGGUGUUUACCAGCUCUUAGGAUGCAAAUUUGCUUUGCAGAAUAAAAUUAGUGCGCUAUUUUUACACAUAAUAGUUAUCAAUGUCAGCCUAUUUUGAUUGUAUAACAAUUUUUUUUAAGUAUUGGUGAUAGAAACAAUAAUGGAUAGUAUUGGAAGUAAUAUAUCUUUUAUGUGUAUCUAUUACUCAUCCAACCCUUUUACAGACCUCAGUAUUAGUGUGCGACUCAGAAGCGUUUGCUUUGCUUUGAAUUUGCUGGCUAGCCUAGAUGUGUUUUUAUUUCUGGUAAAGACAUUUGUGACUAUUUUUACAUUUUUUCACACUCGAUUCAAAAAUUAUCUCAAAUACAAAACUAAAGACAUACUGUAGAUAUAUUUUAAAUAUUUAAAUGUGAUCCCUUAAACACACGACUGUGUAUGGCAAUAUUUCAGUAUUGGGUUAAGAAAACUGGUGACUGGGAAGAAGUGGCCUCAAAGGCACUUACCUUGAUUUUUAUUUUUUAAAUGCUAUUAUAGUUACAGUUUAUGCAGGACUAUUCCUGCUAUAUUUCCCGUUAUCCCAGAAAAAUGUAUGUUUUAUACUGCUUCAGUUAUGUAUCAAUGAUAAGCAUCGAGUAAGAAAAAUUAUGCAGUCUUUUAUCAGUCUCUGUAUACAUAGACAGAGUUUGGUGUGAUAUUGAAAUACAUCAUUAAUAUUUCAAUGAAGGAAGUAGACCUUUUUCAUUGAUUCCCUCUGGGGUCAGUGUAGAGAUAUUUAAAGAGUUAGGUCCCCAGUUAUAGAUACUCUUGUGGAAAUUGAAGAGUGGCUAUGGCCUACUGAUGUGCUGAAAGUGACUCUUGUUCUUACGUUAGCCAAUCUGCACUCUUCCAUGCUGUCUGUGCUAAAACUAGAUAUGCAUGCCAUUUCCCUUGCAGAUAUGUUCUGCAUUUCUGGUUUGGGGGCACAGCUGUUUUUUUUUUAAGAUUAAAAAAUGAAAAAUAUAUAAAAUUUAUAUAGAAUAAAUAUUUCCAUUCAUUAGACUUGUUAAAAGGAGACUGAAUUAAUAUUUUAUAUAAAGAUUUUGUUACACUAUGGGAGGUUCUAUCAUAUUAUCUGAAUUGGAGAGUAUAUAUAUAUAUUUUUAAUAAACUUUAUUAAGGUGAAAUAAUUUGAAGUUUACAUAUGAGUAAUUGAAAUAUUUGAGUAAAAAUGGCAAAACUUUAAAUUUUGAAUGCUGUAUAUAUUAGAGAAUAUGGAGAAUCAUGGUGUGAUGCAACUAUACAAGGAAAAUUAAUGUGAAGUUUUUUUGGGGGAAAAAAGAUAUUCUGAGGGGUGAAAAAAGUCUCUCCCAUGGAGAUUCUUCACAUUAUAUGGUUUGACUUAAGGGUUUAUAAGGUUGUUUGUUCGACUAAUGGAAAUUGCGCUUAAUAAAAAAUUCUGACCUUGGGUAAGAAUUUGCUUUUUACCCUGUUGCCGGUUUCAUGUACAUACAUGAGUGCAUGUACCUCUCCAAAUGUUCUCUUCCCAACCCUCAUUAAAUAUGAAAUUGACUUGGCUUAACAACCUGA